GACGAACGCUGGCGGCGUGCUUAACACAUGCAAGUCGAACGGAAAGGCCCUGCUUUUGUGGGGUGCUCGAGUGGCGAACGGGUGAGUAACACGUGAGUAACCUGCCCUUGACUUUGGGAUAACUUCAGGAAACUGGGGCUAAUACCGGAUAGGAGCUCCUGCUGCAUGGUGGGGGUUGGAAAGUUUCGGCGGUUGGGGAUGGACUCGCGGCUUACCAGCUUGCUGGUGGGGUAGUGGCUUACCAAGGCUUUGACGGGUAGCCGGCCUGGGAGGGUGACCGGCCACAUUGGGACUGAGAUACGGACCAGACUCCUACGGGGGACAGCAGUGGGGAGUAUUGCACAAUGGGCGGGAGCCUGAUGCAGCGACGCCGCGUGCGGGAUGACGGCCUUCGGGUUGUAAACCGCUUUCGCCUGUGACGAAGCGGGAGUGACGGUAAUGGGUAAAGAAGCACCGGCUAACUACGUG
rnacentral:rRNA from 1 species